UACGUAGGGUGCGAGCGUUAAUCGGAAUUACUGGGCGUAAAGCGUGCGCAGGCGGUUUUGUAAGACAGGCGUGAAAUCCCCGGGCUUAACCUGGGAACGGCGCUUGUGACUGCAAGGCUAGAGUACGGCAGAGGGGGGUGGAAUUCCACGUGUAGCAGUGAAAUGCGUAGAGAUGUGGAGGAACACCGAUGGCGAAGGCAGCCCCCUGGGCCGAUACUGACGCUCAUGCACGAAAGCGUGGGGAGCAAACAGG
rnacentral:rRNA from 1 species